rnacentral:rRNA from 1 species
CUUGCUCUGUGGGAUCAGUGGCGAACGGGUGAGUAACACGUGAGCAACCUGCCCCUGACUCUGGGAUAAGCGCUGGAAACGACGUCUAAUACUGGAUAUGUGACGUGACCGCAUGGUCUGCGUCUGGAAAGAAUUUCGGUUGGGGAUGGGCUCGCGGCCUAUCAGCUUGUUGGUGAGGUAAUGGCUCACCCAGGCAUCGACGGGUAGCCGGCCUGAGAGGGUGACCGGCCACACUGGGACUGAGACACGGCCCAGACUCCUACGGGAGGCAGCAGUGGGGAAUAUUGCACAAUGGGCGCAAGCCUGAUGCCCCAACGCCCCGUGAGGGACGACGGCCUUCGGGUUGUAAACCUCUUUUAGCAGGGAACAAGCGAAAGUGACGGUACCUGCAGAAAAAGCGCCGGCUAACUACGUGCCCCCCGCCGCCGUGAUACGUAGGGCGCAAGCGUUAUCCCGGAAUUAUUGGGCGUAAAGAGCUCG